UCCGAGUUGACCCCGGCAGUCUCCUAUGAGUCCCCACCAUUACGUGCUGGCAACAUAGAACGAGGGUUGCGCUCGUUGCGGGACUUAACCCAACAUCUCACGACACGAGCUGACGACAACCAUGCACCACCUGUAUGCGGGUGUCCAAAGAGUUCUGCAUCUCUGCAGCGUUCUCGCAUAUGUCAAGCCUUGGUAAGGUUCUUCGCGUUGCAUCGAAUUAAUCCGCAUGCUCCGCCGCUUGUGCGGGCCCCCGUCAAUUCCUUUGAGUUUUAGCCUUGCGGCCGUACUCCCCAGGCGGAGUGCUUAACGCGUUAGCUGCAGCACAGCGGGGGUCAAUACCCACAGCACCUAGCACUCAUCGUUUACGGCGUGGACUAC
rnacentral:misc_RNA from 1 species